rnacentral:rRNA from 1 species
GGAUCAAUAUUUCGGUCAUGCCGUUGGUAUGCACUGUUAUCAUUGAUUUCUCACCUUCUAAAGAACCGUAAUGCCAUUAAUUUGGUGUUACGGGGAAUUAGGACUGUUACCUUGAAAAAAUUAGAGUGUUUAAAGCAGGCGUUUGCUUGAAUACAUUAGCAUGGAAUAAUGGAAUAGGGC